rnacentral:rRNA from 1 species
UUGGGGUAGCCCCCAAAAUAUUGGGACAAAUAAAAAAAGACAACUCUGUUCCGCAGAGUAGCUGUUGACAUUAUAGUUGCGCAGGCACUUUGUUGUCUCUAGAAAACCUCAGGCCAAUCGCACAUUCUGAUGACGGCGACUUUGCAUUCGGAUGUCAUCCAUAACAACUUUCGAUGCCAGUUUCUGCGCCUACCCUGGUGACCAUGGGUAACAGGGAAUCGGGGUUCCAUUCUGUACAGGGACUCUGAGAAAUGGCUACCACAUGCAAGGAAGGCAGCAGGCACGCAAAUGACCCACUCCCGAUGCGGGAAGGUAGUGACGA